GAUGAACGCUGGCGGCGUGCUUAACACAUGCAAGUCGAACGAGAAAUGUAGACGGAAACCUUCGGGCGGAAGCCUUCAUUUCGAGUGGCGGACGGGUGAGUAACGCGUGGGUAACCUGCCUCAUACAGGGGGAUAACAGUUGGAAACGACUGUUAAUACCGCAUAAGACCACAGCAUCGCAUGAUGCGGGGGUAAAAACUCCGGUGGUAUGAGAUGGACCCGCGUUCGAUUAGCCAGUUGGCGGGGUAACGGCCCACCAGAGCGACGAUCGAUAGCCGAUCUGAGAGGAUGACCGGCCACAUUGGGACUGAGACACGGCCCAAACUCCUACGGGAGGCAGCAGUGGGGAAUAUUGCACAAUGGGGGAAACCCUGAUGCAGCGACGCCGCGUGAGUGAAGAAGUACUUCGGUAUGUAAAGCUCUAUCAGCAGGGAAGAAAAUGACGGUACCUGAGUAAGAAGCCCCGGCUAACUACGUG
rnacentral:rRNA from 1 species